UGAGGCUUCUCAGCAACCAAAAGUUGUUACUCAGGAAAGUUUAUCGUGAGAAAGCUGAUUUAUUCUGGUCCAUGGUAUGUAUUCCUUUUGGUAGAUUUUUCACCUCUUAGGAAAAUUAAGUAAGUAGAUGCCAAAACUCUUAAGAGUAGGUCCAUCCCUACUGGAAGAGGCUGGUGGUCAGGUACUGGAGCUGGAGGAUGAGGCUGCUGCCUCAUUCCUGACAGCUAUGUUUCUGUGUUUGCAGUCCAGGCUCCAGGGCCUACAGCUGCAGGGUGGGAUUGGACUCUGUGACUCCCAGUCCCUCCUAAGUGAAAGGAGAGGCUGGCUUUGCAGUUUAUUGUUUUCCUGUUCUGAGAGCCCUGGUUUGGGGCCCAUGUUCACUCAGUUGUGAUAUUGAGGUGGGGACCUAGCUGCUUCCAGAGCAGAAGCCAACAGAGGAAUGUCUGAAUGAAGUACUCAAUUAAAGAGAAACAAUUUCUAAAAAAAAA
rnacentral:lncRNA from 1 species